GGAGAUGUAUCACUCCGCCAGCAGCAAACUUGACGUCAUGGGCCAGGGCAUGCAGCGGCGUGCAGUGCGUGGGUAUGGUGACUGUGUGGCCUCUGAUGUAGAGGUGUGUGAGCUGCUGGACGAGAGAAGAGCAAACGAAAAGUAAACAUGGGAUUGCUGCCGCCUCAGGACACUAGGAGCAUUGCGGAAGCGCUGAGGAAGACAUCACAACCCUUGACACAGCGAACACAACUCUGUACUGAGGCUGGCACUGGCUUCUCCCAACACCUCACGUGGUCAUUGCAACAAGAGGAGGUAACUCCCGCCUCCAGCACCACCGCCAUAUACCCGCCUCGCUCUCUCUCUCUCUCUCUCUCUCUCUCUCUCUCUCUCUCUCUCUCUCUCUCUCUCUCCCUGCCGGCCAUAUUAACACUCAGACCCAUGGUUACUGACCUCGACUCAAACACCAUCAUGGCACUCUCUUCCCUGUUAAACUUGCCGGGAUCCAUUGUAAUGUAAGGGGUAUUGAAUGUGAGCGAUGAAACAAGAAGGUAGUGGCAAGGGGGAAAUGUACAGGGGAGCGCAGGAGAGACGCCUCUCUCCACUGUGCCUGACAGUCUCUCAGUGAUUGAAAGACUGAGCAUAACAUCUUCAGGGCACGUGGUAACACGGAGAGGAAGUGGAAGAAAGCUUGGAACGCUCCCAUAACUCAGGAGCAAGAGGUACACCAUACUGGAACCUUGUGACUGACAGGUGGCUGUGACUGCAGGAACCAAUUCAUGUGAACACUGUGUUUUGUUGCUACACUUGAGAAUCCUCUAUCCUAAAUUUAAAAAUCUAAGAUUUUAAUUGUGUCAUGUUUUGUCACAUUUUUUUUGCCCCACCAAAAAAUUGAUAACCAGAGCUUGAUUUACUGCCAUGGGAGGUAUCAGAAAUUGGCAAGUUGUUAUUCAAAAAAACUGGGGAAAUCUAAAAUCUGUACCACUCACUCCCAACAAUUUUGGAUAAGGAAUCCUGAACUGUAUGUAAUCAGAGUAUUGUUGAGAGUGUGUGUGUGUGUGUGUGUGUGUGUGUGUGCGUGUAUGAAUCCUUAUGUAUGUAUGUGCAGGAUAAGAGGAAAGUUGUUAAUAAGAUUAGUAAAUGCAUGGAGGAGAGGCGUGCUCUUACCAAGAUUAGAAGAACAGCAAGUGUGAAAAUAGUGGUACAGGAUAGCAAGAGAGGCAGUGUGUGGGCUGGGUAAGUGCACGUGUGGUACUUUUAUUAAGAAUGACUAGGAUGGAUGAGCAUUACCGGUGAGGCGUGUUGUGUGUGUUACUGAAGAGGGUUAGAAGGAAUGGUUUGCAGUGAUCAGUGUGAAAUAAGAGAUGUGUAGCUUGGGUUUUUUGUUGAGAGAUGUGCACGUGAAAGGUGUUUGGCGAAAAAUAAGGAUGUUUUUUUGAGGAAUUUAUGGAUAUAAAAAGAUAAGAUAUGGAAGAGUUGUGGGUUGUUUGAGGAUUGUUUUGGCCAGGUGAUGGGCUGUUAAAGGGAGUGAUGGGCUGUUAAAGGGAGUGAAAUGUUUGUAAAAAGUAAAAAGCCAGCAUUUGAGUGAUAGAAUUAGUGUGUAUGUGUGAUACAGGUUCACGUCUUCAUAACUAUCCAUUUUCCCCAAAUUGCGUUACUCUUUUGCAGAUCUCACUUGUGUUGGCUAACAUUCUGUCUGCAAUCAGUCCGGUAGUGCCAUGUUGCAGGCUCUGACGUCAGGAAGAGCCAAAUGGAGGGUGUGUCUACAGCCAGUACUGGGUGUGCUGCUGCUGUACAAGUGCCCCAAGCCAGCUGACUCCACCAGUGUAUUAUCUAGUCCAGGUUGCAUUGCUGUGUAUGACUUGUAUGUAUGUCUUUGCCAAUAAAUAGAUUUGUGACUACUAUUAUAUAUGUGAAAUAAAUAUAUAGUUUGCUAACAAUGUGCUGGUAUAGUGUAAAAUAAAUAUUUGGUGGUAACAAUUCAUGCCCUCAAGGUAAUAAAAAAAAAGUGCCAGGAUUGGCCCAAGGCCCAAAAAUAAAGUUUAAGGUAUGAUUUGCACAGAAGCCCCAUCCCAACGACACCAGUUGCUGGGACAGGGCUUCUAUGCGUUUUUUUUUUCAGGGCAUGACCUGUACUCUGCCUGAAACUUUAUUUACACAAGAUGGAAUACUGAAUGUUUAUUGUUUUACUGUGAAUGUUAAGUGAAUAAAUACACAACAGGAUAAUAAACAUG